rnacentral:rRNA from 1 species
GCGCAGCAGUCGCGAAAACUCCGCAAUACGCGAAAGCGUGACGGGGCUACCCCGAGUGUCGUCCGCUGAGGACGACUUUUCCACGCUGUAAGGAGGCGGGGGAAUAAGGAGAGGGCAAGUCUGGUGUCAGCCGCCGCGGUAAUACCAGCUCUCCGAGUGGUAGGGAUGAUUAUUGGGCUUAAAGCGUCCGUAGCUGGCCUUUCAAGUCUCUUGUUAAAUCCAGCGAUUCAAUCGUUGGACUGCGGGAGAUACUGUUAGGCUAGGGGGCGGGAGAAGCCGACGGUAUUUCCGGGGUAGGGGUAAAAUCCUAUGAUCCCGGGAAGACCACCAGUGGCGUAGGCGGUCGGCUAGCACGCGCUCGACAGUGAGGGACGAAAGCUGGGAUAGCGAACCGGAUUAGAUACCCGGGUAGUCC